rnacentral:rRNA from 1 species
GUUAUAUGGUCAAGCGAAUAAGCGCACACGGUGGAUGCCUAGGCGGUCAGAGGCGAUGAAGGACGUGGUAGCCUGCGAAAAGUGUCGGGGAGUUGGCAACAAACUUUGAUCCGGCAAUAUCCGAAUGGGGAAACCCACUGCUUCGGCAGUAUCCUGCAGUGAAUUCAUAGCUGCUGGAAGCGAACCCGGUGAACUGAAAUAUCUAAGUAACCGGAGGAAAAGAAAUCAACCGAGAUUCCCUAAGUAGUGACGAGCGAACGGGGAGCAGCCCUUAAGCUGGAAUGGCUUUAGAAAAACAAUCUGGAAAGAUUGGCCAUAGAAGGUGAUAGCCCUGUAUUUAAAAGGGCCACUCCAGUGAAGACGAGUAGGGCGGGGCACGUGAAACCCUGUCUGAAUAUGGGGGGACCAUCCUCCAAGGCUAAAUACUCCUGACCGACCGAUAGUGAACCAGUACCGUGAGGGAAAGGCGAAAAGAACCCCGGAGAGGGGAGUGAAAUAGAUCCUGAAACCGUGUGCGUACAAGCAGUAGGAGCUCGCAAGAGUGACUGCGUACCUUUUGUAUAAUGGGUCAGCGACUUACUGUUCGUGGCAAGCUUAACCGUAUAGGGGAGGCGAAGGGAAACCGAGUCUGAUAAGGGCGCAUAGUCGCGGGCAGUAGACCCGAAACCGGGUGAUCUAGUCAUGGCCAGGGUGAAGGUGCCGUAACAGGUACUGGAGGCCCGAACCCACGUCUGUUGCAAAAGACGGGGAUGAGCUGUGAUUAGGAGUGAAAAGCUAAUCGAACCCGGAGAUAGCUGGUUCUCCUCGAAAGCUAUUUAGGUAGCGCCUCAUAUGUAUCCUCUCGGGGGUAGAGCACUGUUAUGGCUAGGGGGUCAUCGCGACUUACCAAACCAUUGCAAACUCCGAAUACCGAGACGGACUGUAUGGGAGACACACGGCGGGUGCUAACGUCCGUCGUGAAAAGGGAAACAACCC